rnacentral:lncRNA from 1 species
GAAACAUCAAGGUAUAUAUAUGGUGUGCUUAUGCAAAAGCUGUUGAUGUGCACUUAUAUCCAUAUUCACGUCUAAGAUCGUCAACUGAGAUGUUUCUAUUGUAAAUGUUUCUGUUAUGUGUUGCUUGCUCAUUCAUGCUUUGUUAGAUCUUUUGCUCGAAUUGCGAUAUUUAUUGUGGGCAAAUGUCAAGUACAUAUUUGUUACUUUAUAUUCUAGUGUUGUUUGUACAUGCUUUCUGGCAAAUGUUCUGUUAGCUAAUUUGAAGAUAACAGUGAGUGCUAGUGCUUAAUGUUUCUGUUCAUAUAGCUAACCAGCUGCUGUUGUGCAUAAAAUUGCAGGAUCUUUGCGUGUAAGUUCUGGCUGUAGUGUGCUCUCACGUUGUACAUGCCCCUAUGUUUAGUAAGAUUAAAUCGCUAAUCUUAAUGAUGAAUGGUUAAGUUUUUCAAUUUGAAGCAGCACCUACUUUCUGGUCCUGUAGUGUUUAAACUGAUAAUUAUGAUGCAUUGGUCCAUAUGGCCUUGUUUUUUAAUGCAUAUAUAUGAUUUAGUUGACAAGCCUUGAUCUCAACCUCUGAAGUUUAACAAACUGGUCUAUAUUACUGAGGAUGUAUAAUGUAGAAGUAUAUAAACCAUAAAUUCAAGCUUCUGAUGUAGCAUGCUCAAUAUAUACUGUUAUAGAAUAGUGUGUUCUACAAAAGGUUGAAACAGCAUGGUCUCGGUCAUUUGUCGGAAGUAGAAACACUAAGGCUGACAUCUUUUACACCUCACUGUUUUAUUUGUUUUUUCUAAUUUAAUUUUGUGGAUAGUAAAUUUGCAAUUGUAUGCCCUUUGUAAAAAAAUGCAUUUUACGUUUCCAUGCCCUGUAGUGAUGAAGCAUGUGUCUCUGAUAUUCUGCAUGACUGAAAUGCUGAUAUCUUGUAUAAAUUUGGCUUUUGUGGGUAAUCCUUUUCCCUGCCACGUUCAGCUGCAUCACUAUGAUGCCCAUGAAGGGUGAUAGGAACCAUCUUCCUGCCGCCAUGAAGGGCCACUCGAAGCUGUCAAAAGGCACUUGUAUAGCUUGUGGAGGUGAUUAUACUUGUAGACACUUGUGGCUGUGAUUACAUUUGUAGAGCUUGUGGCUGUGAUUAGCAUUGUAACUAAGUUAUAUGAUGUAAUGGAAUUAUUUUGGCUGUUAUUUGAACUAUUAUGUGUGCUUUCUGUCUGUUCUGAUUUGAAUAUUGUUUUUUUAUUUACUGGUAAAUUGAAAACAUGGACCCACAUACUAGAAG